AGAACUUAAACCAGAGGGAAAUAAAUCCUAUGCUUUGAAAGCCCCUAGAAGAGUAAGCCCCCUCAAGCCCAGGAAAAGAGGCAGAGGACACCCGGCGCAGAGGGAGGCGAUCCUAGACACAACCUUUUGUCUGCAGAUUAUCAAGACUGUGUCCUAGAUUCCAAGGUGACAGUGCCACAGUGUCCUGGUGACCAGUUUUCUAUUUCUUCAUCUUCCAUGGUGGAGACAUGCCCAUUGAGGAUAAAAUAAAGAACUAAGGAGACAGCCCGCAUCACACAACAUUUCACUCAGCUGUGUCGCUGAGCACUGACAAACUCAAUUUACGAAAGGCAAGAGUGAGUUGACACCAUGCUGUGGCAGUUGUCCUGAUGGGAGGAAACGACUCAUUUCCUUCCAAGGUAGAAUCCACCUUCUCUGAGAAGCAUGCUUGUGCACAAGAGUACUGAAGACAAGGAGGAACUGUACAGAAGAAGAUGCAGGAGGUCUGAAGGGAAGUCAGAGACAAAAGAAGGAAGGAAGCAAGCAAGCACUGCUCAUGAAUGGUGUGGAACCCGGGCCCCAAGGCUUCUCUGAGGGAU
rnacentral:lncRNA from 10 species